GCCCUCGUCGUCUAGCCUGGAUCGCGGCAGAUAGGACACAACCCUCCGGAGGUUGUCGGGCGGGUUCAAAACGGGCGGUAAAAAGGCGCUGGCAAUCCCGUCGAGGGCG
rnacentral:tRNA from 1 species